AUUUGUCCGCCAGAGAAUUACGGGCGAAAGCCUAAAACUCAAAAGACUUGACGGUGUCCCAAUACUACCUAGAGGAGCCUGUUUCAUAAUCGAUAAUCCCCGCUCAACCCAACCCCUUCUCGCAAAUCUUCAGCCUAUAUACCGCCGUUCUUUCCCGCUUACCUUCUGAAAGAAAAACAGUAAGCCCAAUAGUUAUACAACUAAAAAAUCAGGUCAAGGUGUAGCUUAUGAAGGGGCGAAAAUGGGCUACAUUUUCUAUUAUAGAACACCACAGACAGUACUCUGAAACAAAGUACACAAAGGUGGAUUUAGUAGUAAG
rnacentral:rRNA from 1 species